rnacentral:rRNA from 1 species
GCGGCAAAGCUCAAUUUGAAAUCUGGCACUUUCAGUGUCCGAGUUGUAAUUUGAAGAAGGUAUCUUUGGGUCUGGCUCUUGUCUAUGUUUCUUGGAACAGAACGUCACAGAGGGUGAGAAUCCCGUGCGAUGAGAUGUCCCAGACCUAUGUAAAGUUCCUUCGAAGAGUCGAGUUGUUUGGGAAUGCAGCUCUAAGUGGGUGGUAAAUUCCAUCUAAAGCUAAAUAUUGGCGAGAGACCGAUAGCGAACAAGUACAGUGAUGGAAAGAUGAAAAGAACUUUGAAAAGAGAGUGAAAAAGUACGUGAAAUUGUUGAAAGGGAAGGGCUUGAGAUCAGACUUGGUAUUUUGUAUGUUACUCUCUCGGGGGUGGCCUCUACAGUUUACCGGGCCAGCAUCAGUUUGAGCGGUAGGAUAAGUGCAAAGAAAUGUGGCACUGCUUCGGUAGUGUGUUAUAGUCUUUGUCGAUACUGCCAGCUUAGACUGAGGACUGCGGCUUCGGCCUAGGAUGUUGGCAUAAUGAUCUUAAGUCGCCCGUCUUG